UACGUAGGGUGCAAGCGUUGUCCGGAAUUAUUGGGCGUAAAGAGCUCGUAGGCGGUUCGUCGCGUCGGCUGUGAAAACCCGGAGCUCAACUCCGGGCCUGCAGUCGAUACGGGCGGACUGGAGUUCGGCAGGGGAGACUGGAAUUCCUGGUGUAGCGGUGAAAUGCGCAGAUAUCAGGAGGAACACCGGUGGCGAAGGCGGGUCUCUGGGCAACAACUGACGCUGAGGAGCGAAAGCGUGGGGAGCGAACAGG
rnacentral:rRNA from 1 species